CAGGUAGUAGUGGGUGUAGCGUACCUACUAGCCUACGACGGGUACGGGUUGUGAGAGCAAGAGCCCGGAGAUGGAUUCUGAGACACGAAUCCAGGCCCUACGGGGUGCAGCAGGCGCGAAAACUUCACAAUGCUGGAAACAGCGAUAAGGGGACCUCGAGUGCCAGGUUACAAAUCUGGCUGUCGUGAUGCCUAAAAAGCAUUGCAUAGCAAGGGCCGGGCAAGACCGGUGCCAGCCGCCGCGGUAACACCGGCGGCUCGAGUGGUAACCGUUAUUAUUGGGUCUAAAGGGUCUGUAGCCGGCCGGAUAAGUCUCUUGGGAAAUCUGGCAGCUUAACUGUCAGGCUUUCAGGAGAUACUGUCUGGCUCGAGGCCGGGAGAGGUGAGAGGUACUUCAGGGGUAGGGGUGAAAUCUUGUAAUCCUUGAAGGACCACCAGUGGCGAAGGCGUCUCACCAGAACGGACCUGACGGCAAGGGACGAAAGCUAGGGGCACGGACCGGAUUAGAUACCCGGGUAGUCCUAGCCGUAAACGAUACUCGCUAGGUGUCGGCAACGGUGCGACCGUUGUCGGUGCCGUAGGGAAGCCGUGAAGCGAGCCACCUGGGAAGUACGGCCGCAAGGCUGAAACUUAAAGGAAUUGGCGGGGGAGCAC
rnacentral:rRNA from 1 species